rnacentral:lncRNA from 1 species
AUGUGUGACAUUUCCUCCUCGCUUCUCUUCCUCUCUCGCGGCGCGGCUUCUCCUUUCCAGACGACAUCCAUCCAUUCAACUCCCUCUGCCGCCAGCUCCGAUUCUGUUAAUCGUUUGCUACACCAACCUCUGGGCGUUCUCACCUCUUCUUUGCUGUUCGAUUCAUAUGCCACUGUAAACCAAAAAGCCCUCACCGAUCUCCAUCGCAUCUUCCACUUUCCUCGUCAAACUCCGUUUCAAGCUUCAUCACUGCAGAUUAACUCUCCAUCUUCGUCCCUAAAUUCAAGCUUUAUGAUUCUGUACCAAUUCGUCACCGUUGCCAGCUUCAGUUUGCUCUCCUUCGCGAUUUCCGUUUGA